UGACUCCACAUGCCUUAGGAAGUCCAGCUGCCCGGCCAGCGUUGAGACCAGAGCCUAAGGCGCUCGCAGCAGUUUUAAGGCAACGACAAGCUUGCUGACGGUCGGGAGUUGUACGGGCAAUACUGUUAAGCUUACUAACACCGGUGCAGCACGCUCUGGGAAGGGGUCCACCUUGGGUCAAGUAGCCAAUGCAUGCCGCCACGUUGGUGUUAACGGUGCCACAGCUCAAAGCCGCCUUUGAUGUGAUGGGACCUGCCACAAUCAUGCAGGCCAAGACCAAGCAUGCCAAUUUCACUAGACCGGCCAUUUGUUUUUUCUCUUAGCGUUUUUGCGGAUUUGCAAAAGUAGAUGUGUGUAAUUGUGAUACUGAGUGAGGAAACGAGCCGAGGGAGUGACUGUUUAUAUAGAGAAUGAAGUAUAUGUUAUGAAUGUGGAUGUGAUUACAAGAAAGGACUACUUAGUUGGCUGUUGGUUACAAUUAAUGUAGAGUACCUAAUUAUGUUGGGUACCUCUCAUAUAUAUGUAUAUUUUCUGAUAUAAUUAUCUCAUCUGUUUUUUUGUUUGACAUUUUAUUUCAGUUUUAUUUCUGAAAACCAAAAUACAUUUUAUUAACGUACGUACGCCGUUCUUUCACUUCCACUGUAAGACUUUUGUAACUAUCCAUCUGGAAAAAAAUACUAGUAUUUUUAUGUAGAAAAAUAUUUGAAUAGAAGAUUUAUAUAUUACAACAUCUGUUCAAGAAUGAUUGAUUACUUUAGACCGGAGUUUUUUUAUAACCGAUCCCAAAAGCUUUAUAGGUCCGAGAACUAAUCACUACGAGACCCAUAAAAAUUUGGAGUUUUUUGCUAUCAAAAAUGUUCAUGGUGGCCAAAGGUGUCUACUCUAGAUUGGAGUUAGUAUCUGCUUAUAAAAAAUGAUGUAGCAGAUCCAACAAAAUACGCACCAAAAACAUAUUAAUAAAAUGAGAUAAACCACGAAAAAUUGCCCAAAAAUUAAACUAAAUAUAUAGUUAUCUCCUUUUCCAACGUAUGUGUGUUGGACGUAGCCAUAAAAGUUACUUACAAAGAUCAUGGAUUCAUGUACAUACUUUCAUAUAAAAAGUUUGAAUCAAUUUAUCAUGUAAUAUUAUUUGAUGGAUUGCACUUGAAAUAUAUUUUGGUGGGGGCAACUUCAAGUAGUAUUAUAAAUCAACAGACUCCACGACCCAGUGCCGUCCUAAUUUUAAAAAAACCACAAGCUAACUGAGAAAAAAAAACUAAAAUUGGCAUAAUUAGAGAAUAAAACUUCGGCUACUGAAUUUAAUGAUAAACUAGAUUUUGACUUGUGGAUCCUUACGGGUUUUUACUUUAUAUUUUAUAUAAAUAAAUAUAUAUAUAUAUAUAUAUAUCUUUGUUGUAAGUAGACAAUGUUAACAUUAUUAUUUUGUAUUAAAUGUUAUUUUGUUUUUCUUAUAAGUAUAACAUAUUGAAAAAUAUGUUGUAAAAAAAUAUAUAAUAUAAUAUUCCAUAUAUUACUUUUUCAAAAAUAUGUUGCUAUUUUUAUUUCAAUAUUAUAUUCAUAAAUGUGUCAUCAUAUUAUUAAUCAUAUUUUAUACGUACUAUCAUAUAAAUAAUUAUAUAAUUAAUAAUAUUUUAUAUGUACCAACAUAUAACUAAUUAUAUAUAUUAUAUUUUUAAAACUUAAUGUGAAAUAUAAAAACCAUAAUUUAAGUUGGUGUUUGAAAUUGAGUUUUAUGUUGUGUUUUUCUUAUAUAUAUAAAACAUUUUUCUAAUAAUGGUUACUGAAAAAUAUUUUAGUAAAAAUCAAAUUUUGAAUAUAUGUAUAUUUUUAAUCAAUUUUUGAUAUAAAUCAAUUUUAAAUUAAUAUUUUCAUUUGAAAUAUGUAUAUGAAGGGUAAAUUUGUUUUAUGAUUAUUUUAGACAGAAGCUUUUUUUUGCUAAUUAGAUUGAGUAAUUUUCGUAUAUUUUAAAGUUGACUGAGAUAUAUAAUUUCUCAAAUAUAAUGAAUUUCCAAUUUUUCUUAAUAGCAUAAGCCAUUCUUAUUUUUUUCUUUAAUAAGAUAGAUAUCUAUGUUUCUAAAUAAUAUUAUAUUUUUUUUAUUACUAUUCAUGUUUCAAAUAUUUCCUAAACGUACUUUUACUUUAAAUAAGAUUGAUGAUUUACACUACUAGACUAAAAAAACUUUUGAAGAAAAGCUGGCUGGACUGACUGGUUCAAACGCAGCGGUUGCGGUUGCGGCUGCGGGCGUUUGCGGAUGCGGGUGGUUGCGGUUUCUAGCGGUUUUAAGAGAUUUGUACGACUGGUUCUGCGGUUAGAAAUUGGUGCGUUUGCGGGAUACUUAUGACUGGUUAACUACCAAAUACAGCAGCGGUUAAAUAAUAAAUUAACAAUAUUUACAUUUUAUAUAAUUAUAAAAAUAUCAAAAAUCAUAAUAUUAUAAUAAAUAUGUAAAUUAUAUUUUCAAAGUUAUAGUUUAAAUUUUUUAAAUUAUAGAAAAUAUUUUUAUUUUAAAAUUUAUAAUAUUAAUUAAAAUAUAAUAGAUAUAUUUUAGUAUUUUUAUAAUUCCAUUUUAAAAUUUUAUUUUUAUUUUAUAUUUUGUAUUUAUAUGGUUUUUUUAAAAAAAAGAAAAAAAAAUUAUCCUCCCGCAACCGCCCGCAACCGCAAACGCUAGCUGGAACCAGCUUUUGAUUUUAAGAGGUUUGGAGCGGUUUGAAGCGAUUUGUAGCGGUUUGUAUGAUUGUUUCGAAACGCUGUCAACCGCUACCAAUCGCAAAAGCUGCGUUUGCGGGUGAUAGCGGGAAAACCAAUCAAGCUCUUAGGCCAUCAGCAUUGCAAGAUACAUGCUUGCAUAUCUUAGGAUAUAUUUAAUAAUAUAAUUAGAUUAAGAAGUUUUGGCAAGAUACAUGCUUAAAAGUAGGGAUUAUUGGUAGAAGUUUGUAGAGGUUCUUAGCCCAAAUUUUUUUUUUUUAAUGAGAAUGGAAUUAAUAGGAUUUUAUACUAAAACUUAAUCAUUAAACAUAAGAACAUUACAAAGAAAAAAUAAAUUACAAAAGUUCAAAAAAAAAUUACAAAAACAAUUUAAAUAAAAGCAAAUUUUUAUUUAAUAGAUAGAAACUUAAAAAUGAGAUUUUACCCAAACUUAUCCCAUAUAUGUUCGAUCAAAUCAUGUUUCAAUUGUUGAUGGACUGGUCUACCCCGAACUCUUGCUCGACGAUCAAGUGAACUGAAAAGCUCAGUAGGUUCAUGUUUCUGCUCUCAUAACAUUAGAUAUCAUGAUUUUUUCCAUAUUCUUGCUGGAUUUUUAAUAACGGCGAAUCUAGCUUGGCGAGGACUCCAAAGGCACGCUCAACGUCUUUUCGGACAGCUUCUUGGGUUUCAGCAAAUAGUGAAUGCUUUGGACCUGUGUAGUCGGAUAGAUUUUAUAAAAGUCGCCCAUUCCGGAUAAAUACCAUCAGUGAGAUAGUAGGCCAAAUCGUACUCCCUUCCGUUCACAUGGAAGUUGACUUCCGGAGCAACUCCGACUCCGUUAAUAAUGUCAUCAAAAACAGGUGAUCGAUCUAGAAUAUUAAGAUCGUUCAUCGUACCUCUGGAGCUCCGAAAAAUGCAUGCCAUAUCCAGAGGUCAUAAGAAGCUACAGCCUCGAGGACAAUCGUUGGUUUAUCGGUUCCUCGUGAGUACAUACCUUGCCAAGCGGUAGGGCAAUUCUUCCACUCCCAGUGCAUACAGUCGAUGCUUCCAAUCAUCCCGGGAAAUCCACGUUCUUCUCCCUUAUGUAGUAGUCUUUCAAGAUCCUCCGAUGUUGGACGUCUUAGAUAUUCAUGGCCAAACAAGUUGAUAAUUGCGGCGGAAAAUCGAUGCAAGCAAUUCCGAGCUGUUGUUUCACCAAGUCGGACAUAUUCGUCGACUGUAUCGGCCCCACCACCAUAACCAAUAGACGAAUUGCAGCCGUGCAUUUUUUGGAGUGGUGAUAACUUUGCCUUCCGACUGCAAAAUCUCGUUGGAGAAAAUACUCAACUUCCGGAAGAGACGGUCGACAAUACGCAAGAAUAAGGGUUUACUCAUUCGAAGAAGCGCCGUCGAAUAAUUUGGGAGGGUAGUAGGAGUUUCCGAGAAUAUCAUUCCAUAGCUUCCCGGUCGCCUUCUUCCCGGUUUCUCUCGAUAAAUAUACGUUUUUUUCGCACUACAAGAAAACACAAGUUUUACGAGGGCAGUUUUCCUCGUUACUUCGUCGUAAAAGCAGUGUUACGACGAAUUAGCGAGGAAACGCGUUUCGUCGUUAUACGUUUGUCGUAACGCAUAUAUCCUCGCUAAUUCGUCGUAAGUUAGCGAGGAAAUAAUUUCGUCGUAAAAGCGAAGGAGGAUAUUUCGUCGUAAAGACCACGUAAAGAUUCCACGUAAGGACGUCGCUAAGUUUCCUCGUAAAUACCACGAAAAGCUUUCCUCGUAAAACCCACGUAAAUAAAUACUCGUAAAUUAACGUAAAUACCUUGAGAGCUUUCCACGUAAAGAAAACGUAAAAACCUUGAUAGAUUUCCACGUUAUUUCCAUGUAAAUGUUUCCUCGUAAAACCACGUUAAGCUUCCACGUAAAGAAGCCGCAAAAUUAGCUACGAAUUUACUUCGUUUCAUUAUUUUAUAGAAAUAUAAAAAAUUAUAAUUAUAAAUAUAAUUAUAAAUAUAAUUUAAAUUAUUAAUAAAAUUAAAAUUCUAAAAAAAUCAAAACCAAAAUAUUUUAUAUAGAAAUAAGUUUUGAAUUCAUAAUACAAUAACCGAAAUUAAAAGAACUAAGGGUGGUCGUUAAUUAAUCGCCUCGUAGAAUUCAUCACUCCUCGCCUGAACAUCCGCCUCGGCAUGUGAGUCGUCGGUCGGUGACUGGCCUGGGAUAGGAUUUUGUUGUCGCAUGGUCCUCAACAAAGUCGCCCAUUCCGGAUUUGUGGCCGCUACAACGUCCAAGAAGCCCUCGAGUCCACCCAUACGAGAUCGGAGCUGAGUAGACUCUAUACGCAGCUGAGUAGACUCUCUACGCAGCUCUUCGGACUCCCUACGCAGCUGAGAGACUUCCUCAUCCCGUCGCUGAACAUAAGACGAUGUCGCUCUCGGAACAUCGUUGACGGAACCAAUCCCCAACGUCCGUCCCUUUUUUUAGGGACAACCUUAAAAACAAAAAAAAAUUUUGUUAGUAAAAAUUUAAAGUUAAAUUAAAUGAAUAUUUAAAAAAAUUAAAAUUUUAGAAAAUUUACCUCCUCGUAAAGCUUAUCCACUUCAGGUGUGGAUAAGGUGACGGGUAAUCCAUCGGUGGACUGUUGGGUCAGCUGGGUCUGGCGUUCUUCAACCCGAGCAGCCAAAUCGUUGUAGAUUUGCUCGGACUUGCCAUCUAUAAAUCGGCCCGCCUUGUUCUUGUGGGUCCUCUCGUAAAGUUGCAUAAGAGACGGGAAUUCUCCCGUCUCUUUGGCCUAAAAAAACAUUUAAGAAAGUUGUUAAUUAGAAUAUAUAUAAAAAUAUACUAAAAAUUUAAUAUAAUUAAAUUUUUAAUUACCAUUUCCAAACGGACACCGGCGUGGGGUUUUUGGCCCGUAGUGUGAAGCAUCGGCCCGUUCCCGUGCUCAUCGACUGUGUUACGGGAGUUAGAGCAAGACUGGGCGAUUCUAAUGGAAUCAGGAAGACGCCAAUAUCGGAUGAGGCCAUCCCAGACAUCCGUGGUGAGCUCAGCGGGUUUGCCACGCUCAUACCCCUUCACGAUCCAGUCACCCUUCCAGUUGGAGACCGUGUCCAACAAGCGAACUUUCGCCUUCGCUUCAAACUUCUUUCUCACCCUCUCAGUGAUCCCCAAGGCCCAAUUAUAUUUUUGCUGUUGGAAAAAAUAAUUUAUAAUUAGUUUUUUAGAAAAAAAAUAUAUAUAUAAAUAAUAAAAAAAUUUAAAGAUAUAUAUUUAAUUAAUAGAACUUACAGCGUAAAUUUUGAACCACGUCUUUCUGACGUAGUGGGGCGUCAUUUUCCAGUUCGGAUGUGCCAUGGAGAAGUAACCUUUUAUCGUAUCGGUUACGUCCGAUGCAAGACAUCCGUCAAUCCCCCACCUGAAAAAUACAAAUUUAAAAUAUAAAUUAUUUUUUAAAGUUAUAAAAGAAUUUAAAAAGAAUAAAAAAAUAAUGAAACAUACCAUAAAGUUCCGUCCGGUCGGUCGGGGUCGAUGACUGGUAAACCUUCUCUGCCUGGCAGACGGAGAAUGUCCUCUACGGUGUACUGCGAGUAAGGAGCACUCGGAGGCACCAUCAAAUCGGGAUGAAUCUCGCCCGCGGGCAUCGGAGGUGCCGGCAUCGUAGGAGGCACAGGAGGAGGAGGAGGCAUCUGGGGAGGCACGUGAAGAACCGAUGGUGCACUAGAAGAAGGAGAUCCAAUGACUCUCUGAGUGUACUGAGUCUCGGGGACAGUCUCCUGACCCGAAGAACCGGGAGCUGAAGAAGACGACGGGUCUAAACGACUACCCGGCUCACCGAACAUCUCUCUGUAAUGGGCAGUAAGUCUACCUUUUCGAACCUGAGAAAAAAAUUUAAUUUUUUAAAUUUUCGUGAACAUAUACUUCCCAACAUUAUCCACCUAAUCAACACUAAAUAACAUAAGAUCCGUAAACCUAUCUAAAUUCCCUAUACUAACCACCUAAUCUAUCCUAAACUAAUCAAACUAGAGAGGAAUUAGAGAGACUUACCAUUGCUACGAAUUAGGGAGGAAGUGGAGAGGAAGUAGAGAGGAAAGACGGAGCGAGCUCGCUCGGGAUAUAUAUAAGAUUACUUGUCCUCGUAAAUUCCUCGUAAACUUACGAGGAAUUACAGAGGCCCGCGUUUUCAGUUACGACGAAAUAGCGACGAAAUACAAAGGCCCGCGUUUUCGUUAACGACGUUUUUACGACGAAAAGGGUUACGUGGAAUUAACGAGUUAACCAGUUACGAGGAAUUAGCGAGCCUUUAUUUUCUAUAAAUACCCACAACUUUCCUUCUCAAACCACACACACAAACUCACAAAACACACCCUAUCUCAAAUCACACUCCUCACCAAAAUACUUUUCAAAUUAGAAAUAUUUGAAAAAAAAAGAAGAAAAGAAGAUAUUAGAAUUUAUGUGGGUGAGACUUAAGUCUCGCCACAUAUAAUUCCAGUAUCUUUCUUUUUUUCUUUUUUUCUAGUUUUUAUACUAUGAGGAAGUAGCAAGUCCCGCUUUUCACCAAUUUAGAAAAUUUGGAAAAAAAAAGAAGAGAAGAAGAUAUUUGGAACUCAUGUGGUCGAGACUUACGUAAGUCUCGCCAAAUGUGAUUCAAGCAUCUUUCUUCUCUUCUUUUUUUUAGUAUUUUUAAUCUUUUCGUCGUAAUAUCGUCGUUAGUUUACGACUCUGUUACGACGAUUUUGGCUUACGUGGAAUUAGCGUGCCCCGCUUUUUUAAUUUCGUCGUAAAGUCCUCGUGGCCUUACGAGGUGUUUACGACGAAAUCAUCCUACGUGGAAUUAAAGAGUGCCUUCUUCGUCAUUUACUUUACGUGGUAUUUACGUCAAUUUACCUUACGAGGUGUUUACGACGAUUCUUUCCUACGUGGAAUAAACGAGUUUCUCCUUCGUCAUUUACUUUACGUGGCAUUUACGUCAAUUUACAUUACGAGGUCUUUACGACGAUUCUGUCCUACGUGGAAUAAACGAGGAUUACGUCGUACAUUCGACGUCAGGUUACGAGGAAUUAACGAGCAGUUUUUCCCUAAAAUCCGAAACCCCAAACCCCAAAACCCAUAUUCCUUAUCUUCUACUUCAUAUAUUCCAAACCCCAUCUUUAUUUCAUUCCAAACCACAAUUCCCACAUUUACUUAUUUAUAAAACAAACUCCCACAAUUUCUUAUUCAUAAAACAAACUCCCACAUUACCUUAUUCAUAAAACAAACUCUCACAUUACCUUAUUCAUAAAACAAACUACACAAAAUCAAAUACAUCAAUCGGAUACAUCGACAUUCUCGUCAUCACUAGAAAUAUCAUCAUUUUCAUUAAACUCGUCUUCUACAGCUUCGUCUGUGGCAUCAUCGGUAAGAUCUUCGUAUUCGUGAUUAUGCGGAUCAAUGAGAAGGAUGUCAUCAACUUCUUGUUCAGGUUCCUCGACUUCAUUUAUCUGUUCUUCUUGCAAUGGUGGUUCUUCUCCACUGAUGAUUCGUCCUCGAGGUGUAACUUUGAUCACUGCUAACCAAUUUAUACCCGAAUCUCUCAUCCGAGGGUAUGGAAGGAAGCUAACUUGGUCUGCUUGUGAAGCUAAGAUGAAAGGCUCGAAUUUGUUGUACCGACGUCCACCGUUGACAUCAACUACACCAAAUUUGUUAGACCGAACACCUCUGUUGACGACGGGGUCGAACCAUUCACAUUUGAAGAUGACGCAUUUCAGCUUCAGUAUCCCUGGAAAUUCGACUUCAAUAAUCUCCGUCAAGAUCCCGUAGAAAUCUGUUUCCCCUUUCACACAUAUUCCAUAGUUACUGGUCGCCCGCUGUCUACCAUACUCAUAUGUGUGAAAAGUGUAGCCUCGUGUGAAAUACAUCUGUGAUGUGGUGACCUUUACAAGUGGAGAUUGAAUUACUUCGUGUAACCACUUAGGAUAAUCUGCAUCGUCGUCAUAAUCAACCUGCAAAAAUAAAGAGAACAUUAAAAUACAAAUCAUGUAUGAAAAAAUAGUUUGAGUUAUAAUACCUGAUUCCGCAACCACUUAAUGAAGUGCUGAUCUUUCCUUUUGUCUACGUCACUUGUGGAUAUACCAGGAAAUGUUUCUUCGACUUGAGAAACAAAUAGGCUGUAAAAUUAAUCACAUUUCAUAGGAAUGAAUCUCUUGCAAUUAUAUAAUUAAUUAUAUGUGUUUUGAAGUGUCCAUAUAUGUUACCUUUCAAAAUAACGCAUCAAUGGAUCCUCGCAAUUGAGUAGAAUAUAGGUGUGUGCACUAUGAGCGUCUUGUUCACUCGACCACCAAACCUCUUUAGACUUCCCACCGAGCCGUCCAAUCUGGCUAAAGAUGUCUGGAACACCAGCAACUGCAUAUGUUGGCGCAACUCCACCAUCAUCAUAUCUUCUUGGAGCUCUUCUACGGGUACGUACUUUUGACGCAAAGUAGUACGAUGUGAAGUGAGAAACUUCUUCCGUCAAACUUCCAGCAAUUAUAGAACCUUCAACUUUGGCGAGGUUCUUUGCUUUUCCCUUCAAAUAUUUCAUGGCUCGCUCAUACUGAUACAUCCAUCCGUAAUGUACAGGUCCACGAAGCAAUGCUUCAUAUGGGAGGUGGACAGCUAGAUGCUCCAUGACGUCAAAAAAUCCAGGAGGAAAUAUCUUCUCCAAGUUGCACAAUAAGAUGGGAAUGUUCUCCUGAAGCUGUUCUACAACUUCUUCUUUAAGAGUGCGUGUGCUCAGAUCCCUGAAAAAUGCUCCAAUGCCUUUUAUAUUCCAAAAACAAUUAAACACAUUGUUAGUCGUAUAUUAUUUUGCAAACUAGACCGUUAUAAAAUUAUUGUGAUAUAAAACACUACGAACCUGCAAGUGCUUCAUGUACGUUUGUUGGAAGUAGCUCCGCAAAUGCAAAGGGCAGUAGUCGUUGCAUAAAGACAUGACAAUCAUGACUCUUCAUCCCAGAGAACUUUUGACCCUUUUCAACACAUCUAGAGAGAUUUGAAACAUACCCAUCGGGGAACUUCACUUCUGAUGCCACCCAGUUGAACAACACCGACUUUUUUUCUGAAGACAGUCUGAAUAUCGGAACAGGAACUUGUCCAUUGCUUUUAAUAUGUAACUCGCUUCUUGAGCAAAUAUCCGGCAAGUCCAACCUCGAUUUUAUGUUGUCUUUUGUCUUCCCUGGGACAUUCAAUAUUGUAUUCAUGAUGUUCUCAAAGAAAUUCUUCUCUAUAUGCAUCACAUCGAGGUUGUGGCGCAGAAGAAGAUCCUUCCAAUAUGGCAACUCCCAAAAUAUACUCUUCUUGUGCCAGUUGUGAUGAACACCGUAAGAAUCAGGCAUAUUACGAGGGACAUGCCAAUUACCACCCCAACGAACUGUUUCGUUAGCUCCGUAGUAGUCGAUUUGUGCUUCAAUUUGUUCUCCAGUUAGAUAUGGUGGAGAAGUGUCUCUCACAACCCUUUUGUGCCUAAACAAAUUCUUGUUUCUUCGGUAAGGAUGGCCAAUGGGAAGAAAUCGACGAUGACAAUCAAACCAACUUGUCUUCCUACCAUUCUUCAGUUGAAACGCAUCUGUCGUUCCAUUACAAUAUGGACAAGCUAAUCUCCCAUGUGUAGUCCAUCCAGACAACAUCCCAUAUGCAGGAAAGUCACUUAUGGUCCACAAAAGCAUAGCUCGCAUCGUAAAAUUCGUCUUCGUUGAACAGUCAUACGUCCUCACCCCUGUUGACCACAAAUCCUUCAACUCUUUUAUCAGUGGUUGUAGGAAAACAUCCAGGGACCUUUUUGGAUGGUUCGGACCAGGUAUCAAUAUCGUCAAGAAUAGCAACUCCCGUUGCAUGCACAUCUCCGGUGGCAGGUUGUAUGGCGUAAGAAAGACUGGCCACAAUGAAUAUUGUCUCCCUGACAUUCCGAACGGACUAAAUCCAUCUGUGCAUAAUCCGAGAUACACAUUCCGGCUAUUGCUAGCAAAAUCCGGAUGUACUUUGUUGAAAUGUUUCCAGGCUCUUGCAUCUGAUGGAUGAGUCAUCUCACCAUCCGUCUGAGUAUGCUCGGCAUGCCAUCUCAUCUUUGCAGCAGUCUGCUCUGAUUGAUACAAUCUUUUCAAUCUGUCUGUAAUUGGUAGGUACCACAUCCUUUGGUACGGUACCCUAUUACGUCCCCGUCCUUGCGGCUUGAAUCGUGGCUUCUUGCAGAAUCGACAUACUUCUAGCUUCUCAUCAUCUCCCCAAUAGAUCAUGCAGUUGUCGAUGCAGACAUCUAUCAUCUCCGAAGGCAACCCAAGACUAUAAACUAAUUUCUGAAUCUCAUAAUAAGAAUCAGCAGACACAUUGUCUUCCGGCAAAUACUCUUUAAACAAGUCCGCCCAUUCGUUCAUGCAAAUUUCAGGUAGAUUGUGAUCAGUUUUAAUAUUCAUCAUUCUAGCAGCCAACGACAAUUUAGAGAGACCUUCUCUACAACCACUGUAAAGUGGUUGAUUCGCCGCGUUUAACAUUCCGUAAAACUUUUUUGCAUCUAUAUUAGGUUCUUCAUCUUCAUCAUGAGCUACGAAUGCAUCAGCUACCAUAUCAUGAACCCUAUCAUAAUCUACCAUCUCCUCCUGAUGGUAACUAUGUUCAUUAUGCAAAUGAUGAUUAACCGGUUCUUCCUGAAAAUUGCUAUUACUACUACUAGCUUCAUUCUGAUCAUAAUUAUAACCUUCCCCAUGUUGAAACCAGAUAUAGUAAUUUGGCGUGAAACCUCUAUUUAUUAAAUGCUUCCAAACAUUUUCACGGUUUGCCAAUUUCGAAUUGUUGCAUUUCCGACAAGGACAGAACAUCUUACCACUUUCUUGGGCGAGCGGUGUUGAAUCUGCUUGGUGCAUAAAUGUCUCCAGCCCCGCAAGGUAUUCUUUCGUCACUCUCCCGUUAGCAUCUCUAUGCAUAUACAUCCAAUUCCGCAACUCGUAAAUAGUCCCAGAGCCAGCCAUUUUUUUUUCUUUCACGUUUUUUGUUGUUGGUGUGUUUAAAAUGAUGUUCCAACAUCCAUAUUUAUAGAAAAUUUCGAAUCUGGUAGUUGUAAUUUUACUAUGAAAUUACGACGAAAAUUAAUUGUAUGGCCAAAAAAAAAACGUGAGCCACCUACCAAGUUGGUGGAUUCAAAAUUUCCUCGUUAAGUACACGUAAAAUAUUUCGUCGUAAAGCACUCGCGAAAUUUACGUGGAUUUUACGAGGAAAAACUAUUUCCUCGUAAAAGCCACGUCAAUUUACAUCGUCUUUACGACGAAUAUUUUUUGUCGUUAACUUACGACGAAAUAACGAUGCUUUUCUUUCUCAACGUACUUUCCUCGCAAAAUCAACGUUUUUUUACGAGGAUUAUUUUUCCUCGUUAAACUUCCUCGGUAAAGAUACGUUUUCUUGUAGUGUCGCUCUUUUGGUUCCGGAAUAUUAGCAGGGAAGUCAUCAAAUUCUUGAAAGAGAUGUGAAUAUUCAUCAUCAUCAUCAUCAUCUUUUUGAUGGUAAUGGUAAUGAGAUGAAGAUGCCAUAUUUUUAUUAACAAAAAAACUGGUAUUGAGAUUGAGUAGAAGAGAUUGUUGAGUAUAAGAGAUUUUUGAUUAAUAUGUAUAAUGUUCGAACCAUUCUCAUAUUUAUAGAGAAUGAUAUAUCAUCUCGUGUUGUGUUUAUUGUCGACAUAUACAUCUUGUGAAACAAUAGUGACUAAUGUUUUGUAUCUUUGUGGUCACGGGAAAGUGAGUAUGAGUCUGUUGUUUUGUAUCUUUUGUGGUCACGGGAAAGUGAGUCUGAACAUAUAGCAUUCAUGGGAAAUCAACAAAGUCUGAACAUAACAAAUAUUACAAACAUGUCAAGUCUCACACAACAACAAAGUUGAUAACAACAUUACAAUAUUACAAAGUCUUCCCUCACUUAUACGCGAUCACCACACCUACUAAAACUAAUACUGUGACCAUUACACCAACAAGUACUUCUAAUCCACCGAUAACACUUGAUUUAUUCUUAGCUAAUAUCUCCUCAACUAACUUCUCAACUCUAACAUCCUUCUCUUGAACUUGCUUCUCUAGUCUACGUACCUUCUCCUCAGUUUCAAGGUCAGACAUUAAGUUAAGAUUUUCUACCUUUGCCUCUAAUACCAAUAGGUGGUUGGCCCUGGCCUUCAUCUCCUCCAUCAAGGCGACGUCCCACCACUUCCAGACAUGGCAUUCGCCGUCGUCAACGUGGCCGCAGGUGUAGUACAGUCUCCCUGGAAACGCUGAUGAUCUUGACGCUGCAAUUCUAGGUUCUGAGCCACAGUAACAAGUCUGAGGGAAACCGAACUCCACCUCAGGUUGUGGAGGGUACUGAACCACUUCAGCAUAUUUCAAGCUUAUUUCAGCUUGGUCACGACGGAUUAAGUCUUCCGUCUCGUUUUCACUGCUGUCAGGCCUGUCAUACGGAUCUGAGCUUGAAGGUUGGGUGUAGCUAUACCUUCCCAUGUUUUAAUACCUGCAAAAAACAAUACGAAGUAUUAAUCAUCAAUAGCAGUUAUGAUUUUUAAAACAAGAGAAGCAAAUGACAAAGAUUAAUUCAAACAAUGAAGCAAAACAAAUAUAUUGAUUCAAACAUUGUAGCAACGAAGCAAAAGACAUAGAUUAAUUCAUUAUAACAAGAGACAUUUUUUAAAACAAGAGGCGAUCUAAUCUCAGUACAACAGCUUUAGUAAGUUAUUCUUUACAACUUCUUCAGCCUCUUUCAGUGGUUCUUUUUUGGCUAAAAGAGUGUCUAGAAUAGCUAGCUUAGACAGUCUCUCCUUCCUGUCCAAAUCAUCCUUCUUCAUCUCCCAAUCUUCCCUCUUCAUCUCCAUGAUGGUCGCAUAAUCAGCCACUGACUUUCCUUUUGCAGUGUUCCUUUUAGCCUUAGCCGCCUUUACACCUUCAGGCCGGACCUCAUCAUCAGCAGCAGUGGUGUUUGUACUUUGGCUCGGGGUGUCACAUUCUUUUCGCUUUGAAGAACCAGUCGGUUUAGGAGUGUUCAGACUUAGCCACUUCUGUUCAAACCGCAGAAUACACCACGCAUGCUCAAGAGUAAAUUUCUUCUUGUGAUCAGCGAAGUAGAUCUCGUGCGCCAUCUUGAGAACAUCGUGAUCACUCUGACCAGAGCUGAUCUGUCUCUCUGCUGCUGCAUAUGCAGCACAGAACUUGUUGGUGAAAUCGUUUAUAUUGUGCCACCUCUGUUUUAUAUUCAGAUGCUCUCUUCGGUCACCACUCUGUUUUGCAUGUGGAGAUGCAGCAUAAUAUUCACCUACUCGGGACCAGAAGGUCCCUAACUUCUGUGAAUUUCCUACCACCGAAUCCUUAGACGUGUUUAUCCAAGCGCUGAUGAUAACCUCGUCAUCAGCUGGUGUCCACUUCUUUCUGUCCUUAGAGGCCAAUGGUGUCGCGGUUUCUUGUGAACUAAAAGGAGGGAUAUCAGCCUGUUGUGACUCUCCAAAGUGGACACCCGAUUGAUAACUUUCAUAAGGAAAGUUCUGACUAUUCAGGAGGCCAACUAAACUAGGGGACUGACCAUAUGGAUUCAAUGGAUUCCUUGAAUCCAUAACGAUUACAAGAGAAGAGAUUAUAGAAUGAGAAAGUAUAGAUAUAGACUGGUUGUAAAAUAGUUGAGAAAGUAUAGAUAUAGACUGGUUUGAUUUCGAAUACAAGAGUGAAUGAAGCUGGUUGUUAAAUAGUUGAGAAAGUACUUAAGUUAUAAUGACGGUGAGUAAUUACGUAACCAUCAACUACCACUGUCUAAUCAUGAGUUAUUACAGUCAUAGCAACCAAAAAAGAAACGAAGUAAAGUUAACUAGAUACACACAUUGCGGUUACAACCAAACAAGUUAACUAGAUUAUACUUGUCUAUACUUGUCUACACUACAACCAAACAAACUAAAACACCAAACCAUAGUAACGAAACAUUUAACCAUCUCACAUACAAGACCAACCUGUUGGUGAAAUCAUCAUUACAACCUUACCUACCAUACCAAUGAUCUAAAGUAAACUGAAUUCCUCAUAAAAUCCUCAUAAAAUUUCAUUUCACCAUGAAGAUACAUGUUUCUAUUAUAAUGUUCGACUAUAGCUUAAGACAAUCCGAAAUACGACAAAAACAACUAUACAAAUGACUUAUGAUGAACACAUAACCGAAUUCAAAUUACCAACUCAACACAUAAACCAACUCAAGGUCUCGUCUGUAAUCCCUAAACUUUGAAAUACAUUUACUAAACCGAAUUCACAUUACAGUCACCUCAUUACACCGAAUUCAAAUGACAAGGAAGCACUAAUCAUACAAUUACACCGCGAAAGGAGAACAAAUAAAGAAGACGUACCUGGUUUUGAUGUGAACCGGAGGAGAAGCUAUGAAUCAGAGGAGAACCUAUGAAUCGGAGGAGAAGCUUUGUGUCGGAGGAGAAGCCGUUGAAUCGGAUGAGAAGCCUUUGAAUCCGACGAGAAGUCUUUCAAUCAGAGGAGAAGGCGUUGAAUCGGAGGAGAAGGCUUCCAAUCGGAGGAGAACACUUUGAAUCGGAGGAGAAGCUUUCUAUUGAGAGCGGAGGUGAAGUUUUUGAUGUGAGAGCAGAGACACACCGCUGCUCACCUAGUCGCCGUCGAUAACGAGAGAGAAAGGGGAGACGAGAAGAAUGAAGUCGAGACCGAUCUGGAACUUUCCUCUACCCUCUUCGGUCUUCCUAUCCCCUCUCGCCACGUAUGUCCAGGGACGCGUUAACAAAACUUCUAAUUUUGUUAACGUCCCUCUUUUAAUUGGGUUUAUUUGAUUUAAUUUUGAGCCCAAUAUUAACAAGAUACGUGAGAAGAUACAGCGAUGCUGAUGGCCUUAGUUUAUGUGUUUUAGAGCUGGAAGCCCAUGAUUUCUCAGCUUUACCUCGAGGUCGGGCCUGACGACUUCUAGCCCCUUGUGCAUAUACUGAAAGUUUAAUUGCAAUUUUUAUUUCUAAAAAUUUGAUUCACUCUUCUAUAACAGAAAAGGCAAUCAAAGUUGUGUCUAGACUUUUGGGAACCGUAUGCAAGUAUAAAUACUUCUGACAUUUUCUUUAAUAAGAAAAUAUCACAAGUAAAUUAUAAAACUAAAUUAAGUGAAAAGAUAAAUAACCUAUCAAUGAUGAAAACAUAGCCAAAAUUUAAAUAACAAUAUUAUUUCUUAAUGUUCAUUCUAUUUAAUUGUCCAAAUCAUCAUCUCAUAAGUGAUCAGUGUAAAGGCCAAAUCGAAUUAAUAAAUAGACCUCGAAUAUUUGUCACGGUUUUCCAAGGGUUGUCACGGUUCCUUGAAACAGUCCACCAUUUUCUCGAUUAUCAUAAGUCUAAACAAAUAAUUGAACAGUACCAACUACCAAGCGUGGGGAAUGUCUUGUUACUUCAUUUUCUGUAAAAUUAAAAUGCUCCGUUACUUCCCAACUGUAUUGCAAAUUAAAUAUAAUUUCCUUUUUGUUUAUGUUUGAUAAUUUUUGUUCAUAAUUAUGGAACUAAACUAACCUUCGGUAAGAAUAUAGUAGAAUAAAACGUAAAUCUUAGAUCUGAAAUUCAUAUAACGUUGAUUGUGAACAUAGUACAGACGACCAAAGUAAUAGGAACGUCACAACAUAAAAGACAGGAAACUGAAAAACUCUAAAAACAACAACCAUGGAACAUCUUAUUUUAGUAUUCGCUCAUCCAAUACAUAAUACUUGAACGUCUGCAUUAGCUUCAUCCGACCGCCGCUCAUUUCACACUGUAACCACAUACAAAUAAACAUAACACCGUUAUAAUAAAAUACUCAAAUCCCCAUUAUAAUUUUUUUUAGUAUAUACUUGUUGCACCGGUAUUAUCCAUCGGGAUAUGGUUAAACAGAACUUCAAAUCGUUAAUACAGUCUUUACUAAAACACUAAACUGUUAAUAUAAAAACUUAAGUUUUCAUUUAACAAAAAUAAUCUUCAUAUUAUCUACUUCUUGUUUAAAAAAACCACAGAGAGAGAAAGAGACAGAUUAACAUAUAUACCUGUUGCAGUUGGUGGUUUUGCUGAUCUUGUAAGGAAUGUUGACUCCACAUGCCUUAGGAAGUCCAGCUGCACGGGCAGCGUUGAGAGUAGGGAAGGCGUUAGCGGCUCCUACAAGGCAACGGCAAGCUUGCUGACGGUCUGGGGUUGUACGGGCCAGGUUGUUUAGACUAGUAACGCCGCUGCAGCACGCUCUGGGAAGGGCCGGCGCACCCUGGGCCAGGUAGCCAAUGCACGGUGCCACGUAGCCGCUAACGGUGCCACAGCUCAGAGCCGCGUUCGAUGUGAUUGGACCGGCCACGAUCAUGCAGGCCAAGACCAAGCAUGCCAACUUCAUUAGACCAGCCAUAUUUCUCUCUUAGAUUUUUUUU
rnacentral:lncRNA from 1 species